UUUUCGCACAUCUUGCUAUAGCUAUAGCGACCUAAAUCUAUGUAUAUUGAAUAUUCUAAAGAUUUUCAUGGCGAUUUUGGUAUGAAGGAGGCUAUGCUGCCAAGCUCGUGGAAGGACGCCGACAUCGACCCAGUUCCCAACGAGAAACCAAUUCGUGACGUGAAUAAACAUCUACGCCCGAUCUCCUUGACACCUGUACUGUCAAAACUCGCAGAGGGUUACGUUGUCGAGCGAUACGUCAAACCGGCAGUCCUUGCUAGGGUGGAUGCGAAUCAGUUUGGUACUGUGCCGGGGUCGAAUACCACGAUUGCCCUCAUUAGUAUGCUGCAUUCAUGGCUCUGUGAUACGGACGGAAAUGGAGCAACUGUACAGGCCAUCCUCCUUGAUUUCCAUAAGGCCUUUGACCUGAUCGAUCAUAAAAUUUUGGUCCGUAAAUUGAUGACUUAUAGUCUACCAAGUUCCAUUAUUACCUGGAUCACUGACUUUUUGACGUGUAGAAGGCAAAGAGUAAAGCUUAGCCAGGACUGUUUUUCUGAGUGGGGCUCCAUUCCAUCCGGAGUCCCACAGGGCACAAGUCCUGGGCUCUUUGUGGUUAUGAUUGACGAUCAGUCGCCUACUGGAAACUGCAAUAUGUGGAAGUACGUGGAUGACACCACAAUAUCUGAGGUUGUCCAAAAGAGCCAGAACAGUGAUCUUCAGUGGAUUGUUGGUGAUCUAAGUAGACAGGAAAUAGUACAUCAUUUAUGGAGUCAACAAACAAACGAUCAGGCCUAUAGCUACCUGAUGAAAAUACUCCAAAUAAACCUCGGCCCAAGAAAACGAGAAGCGACGAUAGAAAUACACAUUUGUGAAGAUCUCUCUUUUCUACUUCAAAGCCCCUUCACCCUCAUUCAGAAUCACUAAAAGCCCUCCCCCUUUAAGGUCACCUGGGCGACUGCGCAAAUGGACGAAAGAUGAAGAUAGAGCACUUAUAAAGUUCAUUGGGGUAGCUAUUUCGGAACCCAGUUAUAACUUUGAGUCCUCACCAAGCACAUGGCCAUCAUUUAGGGCACAGCACAGAUGCUGCUAUUUACAUCAAGGAAGGCACAUCUUCAAAUUUUUUACUGUCAAAUUCAAGAGUGAGAUCAAGAGUAACAAAUUCCUUCAAGAGCCGGUACAAGACCCUGGAAGAGGCAGAAGAUGCACAUAACUUAACUAUAACAAGUAUAUUGGGAUUAGAGGUGGGAUUGGAUGGGAGGCAUGUUUCAAGAGGUGUCAACAAGACAACUCAAACAAGAGAUCCAGCCUAUUGUAGGGAGCAGAAUCAACUUGUGAAAUUUGGGUCUCCGUGUCCUCCAGUGAGGGAAGAAAUAUAUGCUCUAUUUUUAAAGUUGGCAGUUAAAAGGGGAAUAUCUACAAAUCUAGGAAACUUUGUGACAAUUGCUUUGGAUGCAAUGAAACUUCUGGAAGAGCAUGGGAAGUCCAAUAUAAUCUAUAAAUUUGCUCAGUGCCUUGCUACCAAUUCUCAGGUAACUGACAAGCCUCUAUUUGAUGUGACUCGGAUGCCAUUUGGGCUGGUUGAAUACCAGAUAGAGUUCUUUGGCUGCACAAAUACUUCGCAGGUGUGGCAUGACACUAUGUGUGCAGAAUUCCCUACCAGAUUCAACAGACUGUUCAGGGGGCCCCAAUGUGGAGUGGUGUAGAAGAUCAGUAUAUGAAAAAUUCACUGCAUGCGAGGGCCAGUGUUGCUGCAUCCGGUACAUGAACAAUGUAAAAGAAAGCAAAAAAAUCUACGUUUAGUGUGGAACCAAAAAUACAGGUUGUGGCAUUGAAGCAGUUAAAAAAAAGUAAUCCAAAGGCUGUUUCUGGAUCAAAGCUGAUACAUUUGAUGUCAAUGCUGCUUUACAGAAAUCUGUCAAAGGGAUUUGGAAUGGUGAUACUGACCUUGGUGAUGGGAAGUUGCAAGACCUACGAAAGGAUUAUGACUCAAGGUGCUCAUUGUGUGAGCAGAAGCUAAUAACAGAGAAUAGACAGUGGCUUGAAAAUAACCUUAUGUCACAGCUAGAUGCCCUAGAUGCAGACACAACCUUCUUUGCCAAUGGUCUAAUUCUUACUGAGGAAGAGUACAGAAAGAAAUUCAAUACACCAACAUGUUCACAGGAGCUUUUGAAGAACCUAUGCUGGGAAAGGGUGGAGUAUAACUCAUUACUUGUACAAGCUCAAUACUUCAAGGAAAAGCUGUAUGAUUUCCUCUCCCUCCUCAAUCCCACAGUGAAGGGCUUUUGAUUCCUCCUUUCAUCACUGACAAGGAAAAGCAGAACAUGGGUUGCUGUCAGUUGUCUUCUUUAUUUAUUUAUUUAUUACAAAUUAACUCCACAAGAAUACACAAACAAUUACCGGUAGUAUUAAUUACAAUUAGGGUUAAUAAAAACCAUAAAAGUACACUUCAUCAGUACAAGUACCACUGUUAACACAGGGAUUUUCAUUAAAGCUUUUGUAUCGCUUGCUCUUUUAACCCCUUGUCAAGCAUCAGGUGUAAAGCACCUAGUGUACUAUUUUUUAAGCUCAUUGGUUCCUUUAUUUUAAUAUCUUCUGUUGAUAUGGUUAUCAAUUACAGAAUGUAUUGAAGUGACGAAUUGAGAAAACAAAAAAGGAGUCUGAUCACACAUGUUGCACAUUUGUUUUUACAGGGAAACAUUUGUGUAAGUUGGUAUGCAUCUGCUUGAUCUAUGCACUAUGCAAAAUUUCAUUAUAAGUUAAUGCUACCCUGGCCUGUCAAAGUACAUCCUUGUACUUUGGGUUGGCUACCCAAAGAUGUGGCUGGCCUUCAUUUUCCACCUUUGUUUCCCUUCAAGCUGCCAGUGGUAGGAUUGAUAGCCCAUAUUUAGCACAACAAUUGAGAAUAAGUAAUUUACUACCAAAUUGUUUCUAGAACCAAGAAUUAGAAAACAGAAUAAGUAAAUAAAUGUACAUGUUCUAACUUUUCCCUUUUGAUAUUAUUAGUGUGGCUAUGCUAUGCAUAUCAUGGAGGAACAAAUUUGACCUGCCCCCAAAAAUAUAAUUACCCCUGAUAAUCUAAUAGUUAAUGAAAGUGUUCUGUUUUUAAGAAAAUAGUACCUGGUGCUUUACUGUUCAUAUACAGUGAAAUUAACUACCUGUUCUUUGCUUUACAUGAAAAUAUUUCAUAAACAUGCAGAGUAUAGGUAUGAGCUGGUCUACAUCUUUGGGGCAAAUUGUUUAUCCACAGAAUGGUAGCCAGCCAGAAAGCUUGUCUUCUCAACUGCUGAGGCCUUUUCCAUGGCUUUUGUCAGGCCUGGUUAAGUUAGGAAUGUAGGCAAUCUUUCAUGCUCCUACAGCAAAUAAAUAGCUAUUGAUAUUCAUGGAUUGAAAGUAAUUUUUAAAGGGAAAGGUAACACUUUAUUCCAGCAGAACAAUUUUUUUUGCGUACAAAUCUUACAAGGCGGAUUAUGAGUCAGAGAAUAACUAAGUAGAUAACAAAGAAAAUCAAAACAAAUUUAACUCACGGAAAGUUCAAUCGUUGCAUGUUCUCGAGGUCUAGAAACCGCGAGGUGAGAACGAACGAAAUGAUCACGAUCCAACAACACUCGCCCUUUGGCGACUUCUUGGAGACAUAGCCAGCUGAAAAGUGUUUUCCAUAUUCUAGGAAUGGCACCCGGGGCAAUCCUUUUUCAUGCCUAAUCUACGUCGAUACUCCUUUCGGCUGGAGGUUGAGCAAUAUGGGGCGCCAAAUGUAUUUUUAUUAUUUAGAAUGGUUAUUUGUAUGUAACCAAAACAAGUAUGGUUAUUUAACAAUUAUUCCACGGGUGAGCGUUGGA
rnacentral:misc_RNA from 1 species